UACGAAGGGGGCUAGCGUUGCUCGGAAUCACUGGGCGUAAAGCGCACGUAGGCGGAUUGUUAAGUCAGGGGUGAAAUCCUGGAGCUCAACUCCAGAACUGCCUUUGAUACUGGCGAUCUCGAGUCCGGGAGAGGUGAGUGGAACUGCGAGUGUAGAGGUGAAAUUCGUAGAUAUUCGCAAGAACACCAGUGGCGAAGGCGGCUCACUGGCCCGGUACUGACGCUGAGACGCGAAAGCGUGGGGAGCAAACAGG
rnacentral:rRNA from 1 species